rnacentral:rRNA from 1 species
CUGGCUCAGGAUGAACGCUGGCGGCGUGCCUAAUACAUGCAAGUCGAACGGAGCUUUGUAUUCGUACGAAGCUUAGUGGCGAACGGGUGAGUAACGCGUUGGUGACCUGCCCCGAAGAGAGGGACAACAGCUCGAAAGGGCUGCUAAUACCUCAUGUGGUCGUAAGGGUUAGAGGCCUUACGUCUAAAUGGAGUAAUCCGCUUCGGGAGGGGCCUGCGUCCCAUCAGCUUGUUGGUAGGGUAACGGCCUACCAAGGCGACGACGGGUAGGGGACCUGAGAGGGUGACCCCCCACACUGGCACUGAAACACGGGCCAGACACCUACGGGUGGCAGCAGUAGGGAAUAUUGCACAAUGGGCGAAAGCCUGAUGCAGCAACGCCGCGUGCACGAUGAAGGCCUUCGGGUCGUAAAGUGCUUUUCGGGGAGAUGAGGAAGGACAGUAUCCCCGGAAUAAGGAUCGGCUAACUACGUGCCAGCAGCCGCGGUAAAACGUAGGAUCCGAGCGUUAUCCGAAUUUACUGGGCGUAAAGCGCGUGUAGGCGGUUCGGUAAGUUGGAUGUGAAAUCUCCUGGCUCAACUGGGAGAGGUCGUUCAAUACUGUCGGACUAGAGGGUGGUAGAGGGAGGUGGAAUUCCCGGUGUAGUGGUGAAAUGCGUAGAUAUCGGGAGGAACACCAGUGGCGAAAGCGGCCUCCUAGACCGCUCCUGACGCUCAGACGCGAAAGCUAGGGGAGCAAACGGGAUUAGAAACCCCGGUAGUCCUAGCUGUAAACGAUGUGGACUUGGCGUUGGUGGGGUAAAAGCCAUCAGUGCCGAAGCUAACGCGAUAAGUCCACCGC